rnacentral:rRNA from 1 species
UACAGAGGGUGCGAGCGUUGUUCGGAAUGACUGGGCGUAAAGGGCGCGUAGGCGGAUUGUACAGUCAGGCGUGAAAUUCCCGGGCUCAACCUGGGGGCUGCGCUUGAGACGUGCGAUCUUGAGUGGGGAAGAGGGUCGUGGAAUUCCCAGUGUAGAGGUGAAAUUCGUAGAUAUUGGGAGGAACACCGGUGGCGAAGGCGGCGACCUGGUCCUUUUACUGACGCUGAGGCGCGAAAGCGUGGGGAGCAAACAGG